AAGACCCAUUUGUCUGUCUGUCUGUCUGUCUGUCUAGAAGGAUGGAUAAAUGAAUCAAGCAAACUCUAUUGCAAACAAAAUUUGACAACUAGGCCAUUUGAAAGCCUUAUUUCCUGCACUUAACUAUGGGCUCCCCACUCAACUGUUUCUCUGUUGGAACUUACUGUCACCAUCAAGACCUGGACCUCUCAACUUCCACUGAUCAUCUUCAAAUGUUGCAAGAUGCCCAGUAAACCUCUACCCUGGUACCAACAAGCAAAACAGAGAAUGAAAACACCCACUUUCCAGCAAGCAAACAGAAUGUAAAAUCUCUCCAUUCCUAAAAAUGUCAAAGCUCCAGAAAUGAGUUUCUAUUCUCCUUAGAUACCUAGGUGCCUGCCCAGGUGUAGCUCUUUCUUCACUAUGUCUGGUCCCCAGGCAACAAAAAAAUCUGCCAGUGUUUCACAGAAACCUUCCAAGGUUGCUCUGUAACCUCAACUACUCUAGAGCCAUUGAUUCUAAUAAGUCUCCUUUUUCCAUCAUAUCUGUGAAUCGAGCCUCAGCUGGACAUGUUAACUCAAUGGGCUUGGCAUUCCUAGCUGUGUUGAAUGAAAUCAGAAGUGUAGCGUUUUGGUGACUUAAGAUAACAAACAUUCCAUGCCUGUCAAACCAGGAGACCCAGGAGCU
rnacentral:lncRNA from 1 species